UACGAAGGGGGCUAGCGUUGCUCGGAAUUACUGGGCGUAAAGCGCACGUAGGCGGUCUUUUAAGUCAGGGGUGAAAUCCUGGAGCUCAACUCCAGAACUGCCUUCGAUACUGGAAGACUUGAGUCCGGGAGAGGUGAGUGGAACUGCGAGUGUAGAGGUGAAAUUCGUAGAUAUUCGCAAGAACACCAGUGGCGAAGGCGGCUCACUGGCCCGGUACUGACGCUGAGGUGCGAAAGCGUGGGGAGCAAACAGG
rnacentral:rRNA from 1 species